ACUAUUAGCCCAAAGGGCAGGUAUGUGGUGACAUGGAAGUGGUUUAUCGGAAUUGUAUCAUUCUGUAAACAAAGUUGAGAUCAGAAGAGCACAAGUC